UGCGGCCWCGGGUCCUUCCCGUGGCCUCGCCUGUCUGAGGGUCG
rnacentral:rRNA from 1 species